GGUUCGCAAAAUCAGUUGUUUCUGUAAAGGAUGAAAAACCUGACUUAACAGCAGCUCAUGUCAACAGAACCUAAUAGAGUCAGUUGGCUAUGAAUUCCACACAAGCUGACAUGGUGAUGUGGCUGGCCCUUUGUAAGGAACACGGCUAUACUGCAGCCAAGCAAGGAUAGGCCGAGGUAAACAUCCUGCGUGACUCAGCCUGUUUGUAGCGCAGGAGUAUAGCUCCACUUGUUGUAUAAUCACAGCCAUGUAGCCAUAACAUGGGAAGGCUCAUCACUUGGCUUGGAGCCACUAUCAUCUGUAAAAGGUAUAAUUGCCCUGCUGACACUGUACAGGCAUGCUUGUGUCCAGAGAAAGAGAGAGAGAAGGCCAGAGCUGUCUGUUUUGUAAAUGGACAUGGGGGAGCCAGGACACAGCUUGGCUUGCUUGUGCCCGUAGGGCAAGAGUUAAGCUGCUAACCCUGAAGAGAGAGCUGGUUGUGCAGCUGUAUGUGGGAGCCACCGGAGCAAGCAGCCAAGACGGAGACAGUGUAAGAGAGAUGCUGAAUAAAACCACAUUUCACCUACUUACGGCCCCCUAAGAGUUCUUCCUAUCCAUCCUCCAUUCAUCCACCCACUCCCUUCGGACCUCAGCAUGGGCUGGAACCUGACCUUAAACUUAACACCCUUCUUCCACUUCUAAUGUCCCCUUGAUGUAUGAGAUAUUGGAGAGGAACCCAUGAAGCUUCCUCUGAUCAGGAUAGAGAAGAACCUGUAAGAAAAGUGCAGCAGCCAAGGAGAGAGGCCAGCUCAGAGAUAUGUUUGUAGGGAAGUCAGGGCUGGCUUGUAGGCUCGAAUGUUGGGGAGCUGCAUGCCGUGUGAUUGGAGGGUGUCUCUAACAAAACACCUGAAAAAAAAAAAAGAGGCAAGGGACAUAAUUCUUAGCUAACAAGGGGGCCUCAGAGAGAGGGAUUUGUUAGGGCUAGGAGAAGAAGGAAGGAUGCACCAAGGAAAUGAUAAAGGAUGAAGCAUUGCAGAAAAGCCAAUUGCUGUAUUAAUUCAUUUCAGUCAUGUGUUUGAGCUCUGAUUUUGUGUAUAGCCCUAUGCUGUGGGAAAUGCUAUGAAACAACAGCCACAGAGUCAACAGCGCUGAUUGGUAUGGCUCAGAUGACCAGUGCUGUUCAGAGGAUGGUGAGGGGUCACCAGGGAAGAAGCCAUGGAGCAGCUGAAGCUUGAGCAGGCCCUUGAUGGAAGGGGCUGGGGAAGAUGUCACUGCAGAGCGUGAGCUGGGGAAGAUGAAGAAAUCAGCUGACUGGAGUCUUCAGAAAUGGGGUGGAAUAGCGUGUGCCCUGUGUUGUUGACUACCCUUGUGUUGUGCUGAUAUUCCAUCACAGAGGUGAGUGCCCAGAGAACAGUAAGGAGGGAAGCCCAGAGGAAAGGCUUUGCGGGGAGAAUCCCCACUGCUUUCUUAUGGGAAAUCAAAUGAAUGAGAUAGGGAUGAGCAGGUAAUAUCUAAA
rnacentral:lncRNA from 1 species